GGAGAACAGAGCGACAGACGGACGGACGGAGGCAGAGCUGCUCAUCGACAACGUGCUGCUCCCUGCGGAGUAGCGGCGUGGGGUGGAGUAAACACUCUCACCGGCACUUCACUUCCCCUCUUUGGCAGGCUUCCCCCCACUCUUCUCCAAGCCCCAGCCCCGGAGUUACAUCAGAAUGUAUCCUCGUGGAGACAAGUACAGCACUGAUUGCCUCAGCUUGUCCUUAUCCCCUGAUGACUCGGAUGAUGAACUCCAUCUCGAUUCCAAGAAGGUGGUUAUAACAACUCUGUCCAUCCUGGACCAAAAGAAUGGGAUGCAUUAGACUGGAACUUCAGGUCUGUGGGUAUGUGAAAAGGUAAGUGAAAAUGUAGGUGAAAACGGAUGGGGAUGGGCUGACUUCAUUGGACUCAAGAAACUCAAGGACCCUUCUGGAGGCUAUGUUGCAGGAUCGAGCUGUGUUGUGAAGGCAGAUCUCACUAUCGUUGGUUCGUCCAAUGAUGGCUAGAUCUUUACCUCAUGGCCUGAUGGAGAGAUAAUGCCCUUUCAUCCUAGUAAUAACUUGACCUGUAUGUGAGACAAUGUUGUGGUAGCAGUACUAAGAACUUGUGGGAUGAUUAGUAGUAAUGAGCCGGAUUUGAGAAGUGAGAUGAUUUCAUGCAUAUAUAUUUCUACGUAUAUGUAUCGAACAUAAACAUGUUAUUGGAAGUACUUGUAUAUGUAUGGAUGAUGCAACUAUAUGCCAGUCUGCUUGCCUCGCUA